AGCAGCCGCGGUAAUACGGAGGGAGCUAGCGUUGUUCGGAAAUACUGGGCGUAAAGCGCACGUAGGCGGCACUGCAAGUCAGGGGUGAAAUCCCGGGGCUCAACCCCGGAACUGCCUUUGAAACUAGGUAGCUAGAAUCUUGGAGAGGUCAGUGGAAUUCCGAGUGUAGAGGUGAAAUUCGUAGAUAUUCGGAAGAACACCAGUGGCGAAGGCGACUGACUGGACAAGUAUUGACGCUGAGGUGCGAAAGCGUGGGGAGCAA
rnacentral:rRNA from 1 species